AUUUAUUGGGCGUAAAGCGAGCGCAGGCGGUUUGAUAAGUSUGAAGUUAAAGGCUGUGGCUCAACCAUAGUUCGCUUUGGAAACUGUCAAACUUGAGUGCAGAAGGGGAGAGUGGAAUUCCAUGUGUAGCGGUGAAAUGCGUAGAUAUAUGGAGGAACACCGGUGGCGAAAGCGGCUCUCUGGUCUGUAACUGACGCUGAGGCUCGAAAGCGUGGGGAGCGAACAGGAUUAGAUACCCUGGUAGUCCACGCCGUAAACGAUGAGUGCUAGGUGUUGGAUCCUUUCCGGGAUUCAGUGCCGCAGCUAACGCAUUAAGCACUCCGCCUGGGGAGUACGACCGCAAGGUUGAAACUCAAAGGAAUUGACGGGGGCCCGCACAAGCGGUGGAGCAUGUGGUUUAAUUCGAAGCAACGCGAAGAACCUUACCAGGUCUUGACAUCCCGAUGCUAUUUCUAGAGAUAGAAAGUUA
rnacentral:rRNA from 1 species